rnacentral:rRNA from 1 species
GGGUCAGUAGAUUGGUCGUGCCACUGGUAUGCACUGGUCUUACUGGCUCCUCCUUCCUGAUGAACCGUAAUGCCAUUAAUUUGGUGUUGCGGGGAGACUGGACUGUUACUUUGAAAAAAUUAGAGUGUUCAAAGCAGGCCUUUGCCCGAAUACAUUAGCAUGGCAUAAUAAAAUAGGACG